rnacentral:rRNA from 1 species
UACAGAGGGUGCAAGCGUUAAUCGGAAUUACUGGGCGUAAAGCGUGCGUAGACGGUUGCAUAAGUCAGAUGUGAAAGCCCCGGGCUCAACCUGGGAAUUGCAUUUGAGACUGUGUAGCUAGGGUGCGGAAGAGGGAAGCGGAAUUUCCGGUGUAGCGGUGAAAUGCGUAGAUAUCGGAAGGAACACCAGUGGCGAAAGCGGCUUCCUGGUCCAGCACCGACGUUCAGGCACGAAAGCGUGGUGAGCAAACAGG